UCUUCCCUCUGGCGUCGUGCUUAACACAUGCGAGUCGAACGGAAAGGCCCAAGCUUGCUUGGGUACUCGAGUGGCGAACGGGUGAGUAACACGUGGGUGAUCUGCCCUGCACUUCGGGAUAAGCCUGGGAAACUGGGUCUAAUACCGGAUAGGACCACUUCUUGGAUGUUGUGGUGGAAAGUUUUUUCGGUGUGGGAUGAGCUCGCGGCCUAUCAGCUUGUUGGUGGGGUAAUGGCCUACCAAGGCGUCGACGGGUAGCCGGCCUGAGAGGGUGUACGGCCACAUUGGGACUGAGAUACGGCCCAGACUCCUACGGGAGGCAGCAGUGGGGAAUAUUGCACAAUGGGCGCAAGCCUGAUGCAGCGACGCCGCGUGGGGGAUGACGGCCUUCGGGUUGUAAACUCCUUUCGCUAGGGACGAAGCGUUUUGUGACGGUACCUGGAGAAGAAGCACCGGCUAACUACGUG
rnacentral:rRNA from 1 species